CCCAGACUCCUACGGGAGGCAGCAGUGGGGGAUAUUGCACAAUGGGGGGAACCCUGAUGCAGCGACGCCGCGUGGGUGAAGGAGCGUUUCGGCGCGUAAAGCCCUAUCGGCAGGGAAGAAGGAGGACGGUACCUGACUAAGAAGCCCCGGCUAACUACGUGCCAGCAGCCGCGGUAAUACGGAGGAUGCGAGCGUUAUCCGGAUUUAUUGGGUUUAAAGGGUGCGUAGGCGGGAUGCCAAGUCAGCGGUAAAAAUGCGGUGCUCAACGCCGUCGAGCCGUUGAAACUGGCGUUCUUGAGUGGGCGAGAAGUAUGCGGAAUGCGUGGUGUAGCGGUGAAAUGCAUAGAUAUCACGCAGAACUCCGAUUGCGAAGGCAGCAUACCGGCGCCCUACUGACGCUGAGGCACGAAAGCGUGGGUAUCGAACAGGAUUAGAUACCCCAGUAAA
rnacentral:rRNA from 1 species